CUACAGGUGGGAACCUCCUCAUGCUUCCCGCUGGGCAGUGAGUGGUGUCUGCUGCUUGCCUCCACCUUAGGUUUCAGAGCUAUAAAGGACAAGAAAUGUCAGGUCUUCAACGCCCAGAAAAGUUACAGAGGGCCUGCACCUGAAAUUUAAGUUUAACCUUAAGGGUGAAAGAUGGUACUUUAAGAAGAACUGUGUAUGUGUGAAGACACUGCCCAGAGUGCCAUAAAGAGAUUCCCAAGCAGGAGUUUAAACCUCGGAUUGUUUGAACCAAGAGACAACACUUUAUCUCAAGAUAAAAUGGGGUUUUAAAAAGUUAUUUUUCUACCAUCAUAUAUCAAUAACUGACAAUAUUGAUCAGUUAAUUGACACAUUGAGAAAAAAGAUUCCUUCAAAAAACGUUUUUCUUACUAUAAUAUUCUCAUUCCUCUCAGUAGUGAUUUGCUACUUGCAGGAAAAUAUAUCUGAGAUCCUGUUUAUCCAAGGUUGCUUUUGAGGAAGACAUUUACACUUGUUACAAGAAAGCCAGUGGAAGGCUAACAUGAAGAAAAAGAGCUUAUUUACACAUCGAGAAGGGGUGGACCACCUUUGGCCAUACAACUGAGGGCAGUAUAUUGGGGAUGGCGUGAAGUCUGGAUCCCUGCUCCACUGAACCACCAAUCUGCGCUGCUCACCUGUCUGGAUUGUUUUAUAAAAAGAAAAUUAUUAUGAUUUGGAUCUUAAAUGUCCC
rnacentral:lncRNA from 1 species